AUGGAUGGCAAUGACAGGUACUUGAUUGUCAUUGAUGACAUAUGGGAUAAAAAAACAUGGGAACUAGUCAAGAUCGCUUUGCUGUGUAACAAUUGUGGAAGCAGGAUAAUCACAACCACUCGUAUACUCGAAGUCGCCACAACGUCCAGUGAAGUAUACAAGCUACAACCACUUUCUCUUGAUUUAUCAAAGGAUUUAUUUCAUAGAAGAUUAUCUUGUGGUGAAAUAAAACGGCCUAAUCAUCUACCGGCAGAGGUAUAUGAUAAAAUUUUACAUAAAUGUGGUGGUGUACCAUUGGCUAUAAUCACAAUAGCUAAUUUGCUUGUUGGUAAACCUUUGGAGCUUUGGUCUAAGGUAUACACUUCAAUUGGUUUUGGGAAAGAAGAAAAUGAAGACGUGGAGAAUAUGAGAAAAAUACUUCUAUUUAGCUACUAUGAUCUACCUUGUCACCGAAAGACUUGCUUAGUGUAUCUGAGCAUCUAUCCUGAAGACCAUCUGAUUGAAAAAGAUAGUUUGAUAUGGAAGUGGGUCGCCGAAGCUUUUAUCCAUGAGGAACCAGGGGUAGGACUAUUCGAGAUUGGCGAGAGGUACUUCAAUGAGUUGGUACACAAAAGCAUGAUAAUGCCGGUAGAGAAGUCCCUGUAUUUUGGCAUGGAAAUGUAUGCUGGCACCAUAACUGGAUGUCACAUCCAUAACAUGGUGUUGGAUAUGAUAUGCCUAUUGUCAAAGGAAGAAAAGUUUGUUACUUUAUUGGAUAGUAACGAGCAAUAUGCAACUUCACAUUGCAAUGCUCGUAGGCUAGCUAUUCAACAUAUAGUCCAACCUUUGGCUAGCAUGGCAACAUUACAAGCAAGGUCAUUUAGUGCCAUAUGCUAUGCUGAGAUGUUGCCAUCACUUUCAUGCUUUAAAGUUUUGCGUGUCCUAGCUUUGGAAGGCCCCUCUGAUUCGCACAAUCCUAAUCGUCUUGAGCAUCUUGGAAAGUUAGUACACUUGAGGCAUCUCAAACUAUCGAGCAUGGGUAUCUGUGAGCAUGGGCAUCUAAAGUUCUUGCUGGUAUUGGACCUGGGUAAAAAUAGCAUAACUGAACUUCCACAAAGUAUUGGUCGACUGACUCAACUCAAGUGCUUGAAUAUCUGCGAAACAAAAAUUAAAGUGCCAUACUGGAUCGGAAAUUUGACAUCUCUGGAAGAGUUAUGCCUAAGGGAAGUUGAUCGGGACUCGAACUUUGUGACAGAGUUGGGCAAGUUAACAGAGUUGAGGAAGCUGCGCAUUUCUAUAGGUUUAGAUCUAGUUGAUGAUAGUGCAAUGAAUAGUUGGGCCUCGUCUGUAGCCAAACUCAGCAAGAUCCGAGUCAUAUACAUUGGUUAUGUUUCUGGGAGGAGAGAUUCUACUCACGAAGAGAACCCCUGGGAACGGAAUGCCCUCUCUCCACAACUCUGUGUUCUAUACAUGUGCUACCAAGAACCUGGGCUACUGGCAAGGAUUAAUCCCUUGCUUCUUCCGAACCUGUCCCAUUUAAAACUGCAUGUAUACAGUCUAGACCUGAAGAUCUUUGGCAGUUUCCUGGAGCUUGUUUCCCUCCAGUUGUACAUGGAGUCAGCUCUCCACCAUGACACCAUGGGCGGUGCAGGUGCCUUCCCCAAGCUGAGGGUCUUCAAGACACAAGCAACACUUGGCUCGUUUCAAGAGGGAGAUAUGCCGGCCCUUGAAUCUCUUGAGUUCAGCGUUGUAGCACAGUCCAAUGAUGAUGGCAUUAGCUUUGACUUUGACUUUGGUAGCCUAUGGAACCUCCCUUUGCUUAAGGAAGUCAUGGUCAUUUUAUAUGCCCCUCCUGCGGAUGGGAAGAAGGCUGAGGAAAUGGUGAAGCGGGCAAUUGAUAUGCUUCCCAACCGUCCCAUCCAUCGUGUCUUAUCACUAGAUUUAAGUAAUUGGAGUCAGAGGUAA
rnacentral:rRNA from 1 species